rnacentral:rRNA from 1 species
AAUUUGCCGAAAGUGUGAUAGGGUUAUCCCGAGUGCAGUCCGAUGAGGAUGGCUUUUCCCCGGUGUAACGAUUCGGGGGAAUAAAGGGGGGGCAAGACUGGUGUCAGCCGCCGCGGUAAUACCAGCCCCCUGAGUGGUAGGGAUGAUUAUUUGGCCUAAAGCGUCCGUAGCCGGCUUAGCCAGUCUUUCGUGAAAUCCGGUGACUUAAUCAUCGGGCGUGCGAGAGAUACUACUAGGCUUGAGGACGGGAGAGGUCGACGGUAUUUUGGGGGUAGGGGUAAAAUCCUAUAAUCCUCAGAGGACCACCAGUGGCGAAGGCGGUCGACUAGAACGUGCCUGACGGUGAUGGACGAAAGCUGGGGGAGCAAACCGGAUUAGACACCCGGGUAGUCCCAGCUGUAAACGAUGCGGGCUAGGUGUUGGAGCAGCUACGAGCUGUCCCAGUGCCGCAGAGAAGUCAUUAAGCCCGCCGCCUGGGAAGUACGGUCGCAAGACUGAAACUUAAAGGAAUUGGCGGGGG